GCGGUGGAGCAUGUGGUUUAAUUCGAAGCAACGCGAAGAACCUUACCAGGUCUUGACAUCCCCUGACAACCCAAGAGAUUGGGCGUUCCCCUUCGGGGGACAGGGUGACAGGUGGUGCAUGGUUGUCGUCAGCUCGUGUCGUGAGAUGUUGGGUUAAGUCCCGCAACGAGCGCAACCCUCGCCUCUAGUUGCCAGCAUUCGGUUGGGCACUCUAGAGGGACUGCCGGCGACAAGUCGGAGGAAGGUGGGGAUGACGUCAAAUCAUCAUGCCCCUUAUGACCUGGGCUACACACGUGCUACAAUGGGCGGUACAAAGGGCUGCGAACCCGCGAGGGGGAGCGAAUCCCAAAAAGCCGCUCUCAGUUCGGAUUGCAGGCUGCAACUCGCCUGCAUGAAGCCGGAAUCGCUAGUAAUCGCGGAUCAGCAUGCCGCGGUGAAUACGUUCCCGGGCCUU
rnacentral:rRNA from 1 species